UCCAUUCAAGGGAAUAAAAAUUGAGCCCACAUCUCUCCAUAGUAUUCACAAAGACAGACUUCCAUCUCAUUUACAAAGAGAGCAGAGGAGUUAUUGUCAUGCCAUUGCCUGGAUGACCUUGAACAAAUCAGUCAGCCAUCCUGUGCCUCUGUAUCCUCAUUAUGGAGUUGCACUAGUUAGCUUUUGGGGUCUAUUCCACCUUUAGAGCUGUGAUACUAAUGAAUGUUCAGAAAUACUGUCUACGGCACUCCCUUGACCUGCCAAUAUUCUUAUUUGUUGUUGUUGUUGUUUGCCCUCCAUAUUUCAAGAGGACCAUGACAUCAGGAAGGUGAUACUAUGAAUUGGAAGUGAAUAGGAUUUAAAAGAGGGAGGGCUGUGCAAGGUCAUCAGCCUCACUUCAUCCUUUGAAGCCAUCUGGGUGCAGUGACAAGAUAUAGAUCAGGAUGGCUGGAGAUGGCCCCUGCCUUGCAAAUAUAGAAACUCUUCAAGAGAGGAAAUUAAGCCAAAACUCCAUCUGAAGACUGGCCUGUUGGCCAGAAUGUUCACUAUUUGCCUAUGUCAGGGAAGAGAAGUGUGGUUGCUGAAAGAUAACAAAUAAAUUCAAGCAAGGAAAACUAACAAACUCCACUUUUGAAGAAAUAAGCUCUCAGAUAAAAUGUAGAGGAGAAGCAUAGUCGGAGGACCAGACAGAGAACCUCAGGCAUUUGCCAGUGAGAAGAAAGAAUUGCUUGCUGAUGGACUGGAGAAAAGCUGAAAUUGUUGUUGCAUGCUCAUUGGCUGAGAGUUGAAUUCUGUUCCUGGGUGAAGAACUAUUCAGCCUGUUGUUCUGUGCCCCCUUUCUGGUUUGAGAGGGAAGAAUAGAGAGAAAACCAGAGGCUUUGUGUCUGUUUUUCUCUAAGUUGUGCUCUGCUGUAAGAAGAGGCUUAGAGCUGCCUAGACAAAGCAGAAUCCCUUGCUAUUUGCAGAUCUGAGGAAUCUGGCAGUUCUCGGUAUUAGAAGUGGAUUUUUAAGAGCUGAGUGGCUUGUUAAGAGAUGACAUAACUAGCUGUUUUGCUUUGUAUUUGACAUUGCCUCAGUGGGUACUGCAGGCUCAACUUACAACAAGUUACCUUACCUCACUAUCUUCUCCAUUAUCAACUCCAACUGUUUGGGCUGGAUUUGGACUCAAGUCUUCUUGACUCUAUCCUAUCCACAGUGCCCCCAGCUGUUUCCAGACAAAAUGUUUAUGGGUAUUGAAGGAAAAUUUGUACCAUGGCCAAAUUGUGAGACACACUAUCAUUCUCAGCCCUGAGAAUAGUUUUGUCCUAGAGGUGUUAUUAAUUUACUAGGUUAGGAUCUUUUAUGUACAUUUUGGGCCACAUUACACUGUAGUGCUUAGGUGAUAAACAUGGACUUGGUGAUUUCCCAUGUGCAGGGUCUUCUGACUUCCCUGAAGAAUACUCCAGGUCACUCCAGAAAAGUCCUUGAAGAAUUUGUUACUGUCUAUCCACCUCUGCCUCCCCCCCCCCGGCAGUGAUUAAUAAUAACAAAAAGAUCCAUUUAAUUCUGAAAUAAUCCAACAAUUCAUUGAAAUGCAAUAAGCACCCACUGGAAGUUACAUACUUCUUAUCAUCCUCAGUCCUCAGGGCAUAAUGAAGAAAUGAAUCUAUCACUCAAAACUAGAUUGGCAGAUUUUUCCAGGAUCCUAAGCUAAAGCAGAUAGAUGCAUUACCUUUGACUUUGUUUUCUUUAAGCGACACCCAAGAUGGAACUUAAAAUCUUACCCGUGGAACUACUGUUGGUGAAAUCUGUGCCAAUUUCAUUGACUCAUACCUUCACCCUAAAGGAGGUUGAGGAUUCAGUACAAUAUGUUCUAUCCUCACAGCCCCAGUCAUCCUCUCUCCACAGAUACAUUGUUUUACAAUAGCAGACACUCUGAAUGUCUCUGCCCAUAAGAUUCAACCAGGAGAUUGGGUCUAGAUGGAAAAAAUGGAAAAAGUAGCCUCUGCAGCCCAAGUCAGGUACAUCUGACAACACACACAGUCAUUAAAGUGAAGGAGAAAAGAACUCUGGAUUUACUAUACCUGAGUAAAGAAGGAGUCCAGUCAGAAUCCCCUGGAGGAUUCUGUUUCUCUGGAAACAGAUAGCAUGGAGGGAGCAAUACAGACUACAUGACCCAGAAAAUGAAAGGUUAGGGAAUAAACAGUUAUAUAGCACCUACUAUGUGCCAAGCAUUAUGCUAAGGGCUUCACAGUUAUUUCAUUUGAUCUUCCCAUCCUGCAUGUGCAGGAAAGAAAUCCAUCCCUAUCUAGAAAAUCUUUAGAAAUUGGCUACAUUAGCUAAAUGAAGGAGGAUGUGGAAGAAAUUCUAACGUUUUUCCACCCAGUAUCAUUGCCUCUUAAGUAGAGAUUUCAGAGUGCAGGCAGAUUACUUAGGACAUUCAACUAGUCCCUCUCUGUCAAAAUGAGGGAAACUGGAAAGUUCUUAUCCUUAAAGUAAAUAUCUCUGUAGUAAAUUCUCAAGGAAAACCUGAAACCCAGAUAAUAUGUCUUUCAGAAACAAAGCAUCAUGUUUGUUUCCAAAGUUCUAAUAGGACUGAUAAUUUCUGGGGGAGUUGAGAAAAGAACUCUGAGAAAAUCUUAGGAUUUAAUACAGUGAUGACAAGAUUUUCUUUGAACCCCUUCUCCCCAUAGAACAUCCAGUAUGAAACCAAUGGAAGAAGCUCCUCACUUAUGAGCAGAGUUGAUACCAAUUGACAAAUAUUAGCCUAUAUCAGUUAAAUUAUAUAUUUUUUUGGAAAAACAAAUAAACAGUUCAAAAGUCUCAGUAACCAUAGCAUUUCCCUAAGAGAUUAGUCAGGUAUAUAUCUGAAAUAUAACACUGGAUGGUUUCUAAUAAUAAUUUCUGAGUCUCAGAAGGACUUUUUGUAGCUAUUUACCUAGCAAUCAAGUGUUGAUUUAAUUUUUCCUCUAAUUGUUGGCUUAAUAACAUUGAAAAUUGGAAUGUUGAUACUUUAGAACAGAUACUCUGAUCCUAAAUUUAGUUCCCAAAAUAAUGCUCUGGAAACUCUUAUAGUAGUUAAUAUCCUGACCCUUAUGAUGACCCCAGGACUACAGUUUAUAUACGGGAAUGAUGGGGUGCUUGGGUGCUUAUGCUUGUACUUGGACCCCAAUUUCUCCCCAGCCUCAGAAACACUAU